GGGGGGAAAGGAACGGACGCACCACGCGGCUGAGAAGCGAUCGCGUCAGCGAGUGGAUUGGGGGGAAACGCACCCCGGCUCGCCGGUUUCCCUCCCGCCUCCCUCCCGGAACGAUGCCACCUCUCCACCCAGGUUGUUCUGCAGCUCACGUUAAGCUUCAUCAGAGGGAACUUUUUCACGGCUAAACUUCUAGGACCUAGAAUACAGAAGGCUGUCAAAUGUAUUUACUGAACCGGUGGACUCACAGAAUGUGUUUGGAGCUUCUCUUACAAGAACAUGGAUUCCCGCUAUUCAUUAUCAUUUGAGGGAAUGCUGGCCUCAGGAAAAUGCUGUUACCCGUCAUUUCUCUGCCUCGCUCAAGGGCAGUGCUAUCAAACCUUGAGGAUCAUGGCCUUCCCCUGUGUUGGAGAGGAAAUUCUUGGACAGAUCACCUGCUGGAAGUGAUAAGUCAGGUCACCGGUGGUUCUGGUUGUUCUGUCUGUGUGAUCUGCUAUUGAGCAUUAAUCAAUCUAGCAGAAGCAGGAAGAAUGAAAUGCCACGUUUGGGCCCAUCAGAAGUCCACUGGCAUGGGACAGAUUGCAGUGACCAAUUCCUGUGGUCUGUCCCAAUUUGCAGGUUUCCCUCUUUCACUCCCUCCUUCCUUGUUAACAGAUUCAAAUACUGAGAGCACACAAAAUAAGCCCUCAGCUACCCAAGUAGGAGGGAACGUACAGGCUAUGCGAUGUCUGUUGUUCAUUUGUAGAGAUAAUACAUGACCUGCGUUCCCUAAUAGGACAGCUGUAGCCCUAAAUGACGACAUACGAUUAUUUGUGAGAUCUCUUCAGAAAAACUGAAUCAGAGAGGAAAAAGGGACACUGAAAUUGAGAUUGUAUUGUACAGCUCCCCACUUUCUCCGGACGUUGCAGGGAAUUUAAGCCAAUUGGUAUCACGCUGUUUAUUGCAAUCUGGGCUGUUUGACUUGUUCUACUUCAAACGUUGGAUGCCACCAUUACUGAUACAUUUUCAGAACCAUUAAAACACCGAAAUAUUAAUAACUCAUUCAGAAAUGUGCCAAUCAGCUUUUAAAAAAAAAUAAUAUGAAUUGCAGCAGAGGAGCUGGAUUUUGCAGAGUAAUACUGUUCUUUGCCUGUAACAUCUUUUUAUACAUUAUGUUCCCUUCUUGAAAACUGAGGCUGUCAUUUUCUUUAUUUAAAUCCAUUUAUUGACUAGAUGCUCAACAUUGCUUCCUGCCUCUGGUAAAAAAGAAGUACUGGAUGAGGCCGUUCCAUUCACCAAUGUUGAGGCCCCACUAUUUCCCCAUAUCAUCCGUGUAGAAAAUAUGGAAAAACGAGGUCUGGUUGAAUGAUUAUCUUAAGUGACGCCAACCCAACAGGUCUCUGGUAGGAGAUGCAGUUUCUUCCUUAGUCCUGUCUGCUCAGG